GACGAACGCUGGCGGCGUGCCUAAUACAUGCAAGUCGAACGCAGUGGGGACGGGUGAGUAACACGUGGGUAACCUCCCAUCAGAGGGGAUAACACGUGGAAACAGGUGCUAAACCGAUACUGAUGGAUGGACCUGGUGUGCAUUAGCUAGUUGGGGAGGGAACGGCAUACCAAGGCCACGAUGCAUAGCCGACCUGGGAGGGUGAUCGUCCAAACUGGGACUGGGACACGGCCCAGACUCCUACGGGGUGCAGCAGGAGGGAAUCUUCGGCAAUGGGCGGAAGUCUGACCGAGCAACGCCGCGUGAGUGAAGAAGGUUUUCGGAUCGUAAAGCUCUGUUGUUAGAGAAGCGGUAACUAACCAGAAAGGGACGGCUAACUACGUGCCAGCAGCCGCGGUAAUAC
rnacentral:rRNA from 1 species